GUCUGUUCUUUCAUUCGAGAUGGACGCUACUGCGCUUCUCCUGAAUUCGCCCGUGGCAUGGGCUCUUGUUACCGUGUCAACUGCAUAUAUCUUCUUCAGGUAUGUGACGUCGUCCUUUACGUAUUUCUCCGAUCAAGGCAUUCCCGGCCCCAAGCCUUUUCCCCUUGUUGGUAAUAUGUGGGGAAUCUGGAAAGCGAAUUUACCGAAAUAUGAUCAAGAGAUAGUAACAAAAUAUGGCUGAUGAUGUUUCGGUUACUUUGAUGGAUCUCUUCCGAACUUGUGGAUAACAGACGCUGACGUAAUCAAGUCCGUCUUUGUGAAGGAUUUUGGCCACUUUGUCAAUCGCAGAAAUUUCACCUUCAAAAGCAAAGUGGUACGGAAAUUCCUCACUUUGAUGAGAGAUCAGGAUUGGAAGGACGUUCGUUCCUCGAUUACACCAGCAUUCACUACAGGCAAAAUCAAGCGUAUGUAUGUGGUAUGU